UACAGAGACUGCAAGCGUUAUUCGGAUUCACUGGGCGUAAAGGGUGCGCAGGCGGCCAGGUGUGUCAGGUGUGAAAGCCCGAAGCUUAACUCCGGAAUUGCGCCUGAAACUACUUGGCUAGAGCAUUGGAGAGGGUAGCGGAAUUCACGGUGUAGCAGUGAAAUGCGUAGAUAUCGUGAGGAACACCAGAGGCGAAGGCGGCUCUCUGGACCAGCACUGACACUGAGGCACGAAAGCGUGGGGAGCAAACAGG
rnacentral:rRNA from 1 species